CUUCCGCCUAAUUUUGCUCUUGCGAUAAAUAUUUGUUUCGCAAUAUAUCGCUUAGAUAUUUGGUACAUGAAAUCGAACAGUUUAUGCGCUUUUGAAAUUUAGCCUGCGUAACCGAAUACUUUUCUUUGUAGGAGUUAUCUCCCCAAACACUGUUUUCCUUGUGUCCACUACUCCUUCGCAACCGUGAAAGAUUACGACAAAUUUAUUUUAUAAAAUUGCUCGAUCUAUCCUUCGUAUGAUUUGUCCUAUUUUGACCUAAGCAAUGUGAACGCUCCAUAUGAGAGUUAUUUCCCCUUAUGCAUUUGAUAUAAGUUAUAUGCAUUUCUAUCUUGUAAACCAUAAGUAAUAGAGACCUAGGAUCUUUUGAUUUGAGGUCCUUGGUCCAUAUUUAAAAAAAAAAUUAAAUCAAGGUCAAAGGUUAAGGUCAUAUUCUAAUUUUUGAAUUUGGCUUAUUUUCACUUUUUCCCCAAAACCGUAUAAGAUAUCAACUAAUUAUUUUACUAAAUUGUUAAUUGCGACAUGUCGUAACAUGUAAAUUUUGAUUGCAAGAGUACGUUGAACGUAAAAGUGAGUUUUCUCCCCUCUUGUAUUUAAAAAUAUGCGUAUGGUGAUAUAACUCAUUAACCAAAUAUAUAAUUAAGACCUAUGGUCUUUUGAUUUGAGGUUUUUUGUUUAUGACUUUGAAAUUGAUCUCAAAGUCGUAGCUUAAGUUGACGUUCUAGAUUUUGACCUUUGCUUUUACCUCAUAUGUAUACAUGAUAAAGCCAUGAUACUUUUGGCAAAAGGUACCAAACCAUUAAACCUUGACAAAAUCAACCGGAAGUGAACUUGUGUAAACUGGAAGUAGCUAUAUUUUGUACUUUAUAAAUAUAAAAGUAUAUAGAACCAGAUAUUUUUUGAAUCAGUGUCAAGUUAAUUCUCAAAUAUUAUCGGAAGUAACAUUUUUCAAACCGGAAGUAACAAAUUAUCUCCCUUAUUUUAAAAAAUAUUGUAUAGAAACCAUAUAUUUUUGGAAUCAGCGUUCAAUAAGCCAUCAUUUGACGAUGACAUUUUAAACUUAAUUUUACAACUUUCAUAUUAGAAUACAUUGUUUUUGGUGGAGAGACCUUCAAUUGUUCUCUGAAAAAUUGGCGAUAAAUAUUUGUUUCGCAAUAUGUCGCUUAGAAAUUUCUCAUCUUGUAUUGUAUAGUUCAUGCGCUUUUAAAUUUU
rnacentral:lncRNA from 1 species